rnacentral:tRNA from 1 species
AAAGAUUUAGUUAAUAUAUAACAUCAAUUUGUCAAAUUGAAAUAAAUUUUCAAGUUAGUUUUUA